CCACGGCGCAGACAGUGACAUCAUCAGAUGGUGCAGGCAAGGGCCACGUGGAAGACCGACAAAGAAAGACUGAACAAGUAUAUUUGCUGUGUGCACAAAAAAGAUUUCUAGGUGGCUUUGCGUUCUUUUCUUUCGAGAUGGUGCUGACACAAGCGUGUUACGCUGCGGUGGACUUUUCAGCGAGCCGAUGCCCUCCAGGCUUCCUCCGAGGAACUCAUCCCGAGCGACAUGGAGAAGGCUGCAUAGUCCACUUGUGAACACCAGGGUUUCCAUCCAUAAAAGAGAAGCCAGAGGUGGGGAGAGGAUCUUGCCUUGUGGCACAGGCUGACCUGGAGCCUGUGAUCCUCCUGCCUCUGCCCCCGAAAUGCUGGGACUGCAUGCAAUGUGUGCACUGCUGUGCCUCAGUUGAAUUGGAGACUUGAUCAACAGCUGGAAACAGAGGCCAAGAGGCAGGUAGGAGCUGUUUCAGCAUGCAUUGGAUUUUAUCUGGAGAAAAAAUGGGAUCUGGCAAUUGUAGAUGAAAACUCUUGUGAUGAUAAGUGAACAUGCACAGCUGUUGAAGUCUGUCAGGUGGCCUUAGGUUCCAGGGAAUGACCUGGUUGCACACAGGAUCCUGGCCUCAGUUGCUCACUGCAGAGUCUGCUGUGUGUGUGGGGUGAGGCUGGCCAGAGCCCUUUCUCGGGCAUUUUUCUUAAUUACUAAAGCGUAAAAGUGCUUUGAAUUGAAUUGUACUGCUGAAACUAUUGAGUGGCUUUCAAAGGAGAGAGGAACAGGAAGUCAAGGGAGGAGCACUGAGCUCCCCAACAUGUCACAGGGAGCCAUUGUCACCUCAUGUCUAGAGACACAGAAUGAAUGAAGCUCAGGAGAGUAGGAAACUGGGGCCUGUGGCCACCCCUCUGGCAUUGGGAGGGGUGGGAACACAGCCUUCGGGUUCUUGUCAGGGGCUGGGGCCUCAACCAAGCCCUUUCCCUUUCCUGGCUGAUGCUGGGCCGGGCCAGGGCCCUUGUGAGAUUGGAAGAAUGUGUACUAAGCUUUUGCAGGCUCUUGGAUUUAAGUCUCACCUAAGUAAUCAUUGAGUAAAACGUGGCCUCAGAGCUGGAUGCGCCUUCCAGUAAACUACAGAGUCCAUGGGCUUCUCUGCAGAUGCUGCCCCAGCCCCGCCUGUGCAGGCUCCUAGCUGCAAGCCUGGGGCUUGGAGGUCAGACAUGGUGGAGAGGCUCAGGUCAGCACCCUUCCUGUCUGGAGCCUUGGCAGGCAUCAGUGGCAGUUCCUGCUAUGGCAGAUGGUGUUUGCGUUCACUGAGCUCAUUAGCUUCUGUAUGCAGCCUGUGUUUUUCCUUCCCCUUCCCCCUCUUCAGUCCUUGCCCUCUUGGACCACUUUUCUAUUGUGAGAGAUCCAUCCCUUUGUCCCUUUCUAUCUAUCCUUUAUUAUUCUCUUUCUACUUUGCCUCACUCUAAUGUGAAAUACCAUGUGGUAUUUACCUUGUUGCUCUGGUUUAUUUCACUCAACUUUGUAUUUUCCAGGUACAUUUAUUUUCAUGCAAAUAUCCCAUGUUUGUAUUCUUUAUAGCUAAGUAGUACUGCAGUACAUAUAGAUACCAUAUUUUCUUUAUCAAAUUGUCUGUUGGGGGUAUAUAGGCUGCCUUCAGGAUUUAGCUAUUACUGGUUAUGCUGCUAUAAAGAUUGGUAUGCAUGAGUAACUGUAGUAUCAAGAUCUUUGGGGGAUGUUUUACGUCUCUCUCACUGGACAUGAGAUACCGGAAACCCCGAGUUAAAGGAAUGAAUGUUUUAUAUAGUUCAGUUUGUAGAGGUUUCAGUCUGUAAUCAGAUAGAUGCAAAGCAGGUUGGCAUGGCACAGAGGCAACAUUUCAAGGUGGUAGAACACAAAGCAACAAGAGCACAGAGCAUGGGGUACAAGCCUCUUUUCCUCCCUUAUGUUGUGAGCAGGCUACCGGCCCUUCGGUGGGUGCAGCUCUCACAGCAUCUCCCUGCCUUCCCCUUGUUCAGGAUGAGGGUGUUUACAAAGUGGGCACCUGGCCCCCUGCUGAGUCAUUUGAUUGACCCUCUGAACUUCUCAUGUUGACACAAUGAACAGCAUCCCAGAGCUGUUGGGCUUGUCCUGUUGGGUUAUUUAGUUAAGCUUCUCAAUUCUCAAGUUGAUACAGUGUAUCAACUGUGACAAGGAAGAUACUUCAAGGGGAAGACUGGGUCAUACAGUAUUUCUAAUGCUAGUUCUUUGAGAAAUCCCCAUAGUUAUGCCAUAAUGCUGGUACUAAUUUACAUUCCCACCAACAAAGAAGGAUUCUUUUUUUGUGACAGCCUCAUCCAGAAUUUGAUACUGUUCUCAUUUCUUAAUGUUUGCCAUUCUUUACAGAGAAACAUGUAAAUUUUGUUUCUUUUCCCUUUUUUUAAUAAAGAAUUUAUUGAAAGAAAAAAAAGCUUCUCAGUAAGAGAAAAAUAAGGAGGUCUAGCCUCAACACGGAAUCGUAUCAGGGUUAUACAUUACAUUUCUGUAAUGGUCAGAGAUUUUGAACAUUUUUUUCAUAGACUUGUUGAUCAUUGGUAUGUCUUUCUCUGUGAAGUAUCUGUUCAUUUCUCUUGCUUAUUUUUGACAGUCUUUAAUUUCAGGUGUCUUAAUUUUUGAGUCUUUGCGUAUUAUUAGAUAUUUGUCCUCUGUCUGAGGACUACCUGGCAAAAAUUACUAUUCUGUGGCUAAGGUUCUCAUUAGAAAAUGUUUUUUGCGGCUGGGGAUGUAGCUCAGUGGCACAGCACCUGCCUGUCAGGCAUGAGAUAUCAUGAGUUCAAUCCCUGGUACAAAAAAAGAAAGAAAAAGAAUAGAAAAUAAAAUAUUAUGCUAUACUGGUAUCUUCAAGUGUUUUGUCUGUUUUAUCUUCAGAACAUCUAAUGUUUCUGUUUUAAUGUUGAUCAACUUUGAUUUUACUUUAUGUCCAGUUUCCAUCCUUGCAAACACAUAACCAGUUUUACCAGCACCAGUUGUUCAAUGGGCUGUCUUUUCUGCAGCCGAUGCUUCCGGCUCCUUUGUCUAAGAUCACGUAACUGCAUGGACAUGAUAGUGCAUAUCUCUAGUGAGAACACGCAGGAGACUGAAGCAGGAAGAUUGCUUGAGUUCAAGGCCAGCCUGUACUACAUAGGAAGUUAAAGACCAGUCUGAACUGCUUGGAGAGACACUCUCUCCACCAAAUGAAAAACAAAACAAAGCAAAAUGAAUGAAUGUGUCUGGGAAAGAUUCUAUAUCCUGUAUUCUGAUCCAUUGAUGCAUACAUCUGUUUUUCUUCCAGUAAUGUGCUAUUUUUAUCACUAUUGUUUUGUGGUAUAACUGAGAUUAGGAAUUAACUGUGCCUUCUCUUGUUUUGCUUUUGUUGCCUAAAAUUUCAUUUGCUAUUCUGUGUCUCUUCUGUCUUUAUAUACAUUUUAGGAUCGUUUGCUCAAGUUCUGUAAAGUACGCUGUAGAAAAUUCAGGAUGUUGGCACAUGUUUGUAAUCCCAGCACUUGGGAGGCUGAGGCCGGACUAUUAUUGCUAGUUCAAGACCAUUCUGAGCUAUGAAGUGAGCUCAAGGCCAGCCUGAAAUGCAUAGUGAGAACUGUUAUAACUCGGGCCCCGGUAUAAAAUCCAAGGAAACAAGAGUCCAAAAAUUUAAGUAGCAAAGGCUUUAUUGAGCCAGUCCGGGCGGCACAGUCUCUCUUGGAUCGACCCAAAGACUGCGCGCCCAAGACUGGGGAAAGGGGUUUUUAAAAGUAAGGGAAAGUGGGGGGAAACCUGCGAGGCCAUUAAACCUGUUGACCUGCAUCUGGAAACUGUAUUGCUGUCCACUUAGCUCUGACAAUCUCGGGAGUUCCUGGUAUUCCUUAAAUUACUCCCAUCCUGCAGACUGACAUUAUCUCAGAGUGGCACGUCUGCAGCAAUAUUUGGAGAAGAAAGUGGAGAGUUAAUUAUCUCAGGACAGCUUGUCUUCGCUAGUGAGUGCGAAGGGGUCACAAGUUAUGAGACGCUGGAACUUAAGUUUUACAAAGAUCUGAUAUCUUAACUCAUUUGAUACAUACAGAACAAAAGGAAAGCACCGAUCGGGGUUUGGGCCAUAGUGUUACCCGGUAAUUUCUUUUAAGCUAAGCAGUUCUUAAAAUUGGGGCAGGCUCAUUUUAUGACAGAUCAUCACCGGGUUGGGGAGAGGUCACAAGAAACCCAAAUUCUUUAUGGCCCAGAUAGGGUGGGGGGGGGCAAUAAGGCGCGCUACAGAACAGGAAAACGGCAAGUAUCUAUCUUGUGGGAAAAGUAACUAAGGUUAGGUAAAAAGGUUAAACUCAUACACAAAUCUCCCUGCAUAUAAACAAGUUAUUUCAAACAAUGUGUAAAUCAGUGGGCCUUCUAGUCUUCUUUAGCUCUUUAGCGAAGAAUAGAGGCGCCUAACCAUGAUUAACAACCCUUGUUAGCUUGUUUUAGCACCACUCUUCUUGUUUGUAGAGGGCCGCUCUGGUUAACAUCUCAAUUAAGUGAAAUUCUUGCAGUUCUUUACAGAGGAGAGUAUUGCUCAACAUUUCAAUUGGGUCACUGAACAUAUCAGUUGGGGAAAAAGGAUAGAAAAAAAAACAUUUAGUAAGCCACGGUACAGGUUUGCUAUAAUACACAAAAUGAUGAAGCUACUUUCUUAGAGUACAACAAGAACCUGUCUCAAACAAUAAAUAAUGUAUGCUGUUGGUGUUUUAGUUGGGACUGCAUUGAAUCUGUAUAACUGUUUUGUGAGGAAAAUGGCCAGGUCUUUUGUUGUUUUGGGGUUUUUUUUUGUUUUGUUUUUUGUUUUUUUUUGGUACUGGGAAUUGAACUCACAACCUUGCAGUUACCAGGCAAGUGCUUGAGCUGCUGAGCUAAAUCCUUGGCCCUUGGCCAGUUUUGAUAAUGCUGCAUCUUUCUAUUCAAGAAAAAAGGAUGUCUUUCCAUUUCCUGAUGUCUUCUUCAAUCUCUUUUCAGAGUGCUGUAGUUUUUAGAGGUCUUUUUAUUUUCCUUGGUCCAACACUCCAUAGAGUGUUGUUUUCAUAAUUUCCUUUUUACUCAGUUUGUUACUGGUGUUUACAAAUGGUAAAGAUUUUUGUGUGUCACUCUUGUAUCUUGCUGUGUUGCUGAAGUUGGUUCUGCGGGAGAUUUUGGGUGCUGUUACGGUUGAUACAUUGUGUCAAUGUAAGCUUAAAAGUUUUCUUAACAGGCAGUCAAGACCCUUUGUAAAUACCUUGUUCUGUGUAACAGGAGGAAGCACAGAUUUUGUGUGUGGUGUAUCUGCCCUGGGGGGUGGGUAGGGGUGGCUUGCAUACAGUAUAAGGGAGCAGAAGAGGCCUGCUCUAUACUCUUUUGCUCUGGCUGCUUUUGCCAGCUGCUGCGUAAAUCUUUUGCCCUGGUGCUGUGCCACCCUACCUUGGAGCCAGCUGAUUAUGGACUGAAAUUAUUUGGUCUUCUAACGUAUGAGAGACAAAAAGAGAAAAAAUAGAAGGAAAGAAAGGAGAUCUUUAAUGUGGGCACAGAAGGGCUGCCAAAGAUGCAAGCACCCUCUGGAAGUUUUUAAGAAAAAAACUGCGGGCUUUAUUCAGAAUUGACGGGUGGAAUUGAAGGGGCAGGUAGAGUGAUGUACUGACAGCUGGCUGGAGGAGGGUUGGCAUACAUGAAAAGUAGGAUGUUCAACUUUUAGGUCUAAAACUUAUAGCACUCUGAAACACAGGGUGGCACUGUCCAGCACCACGUUAGCUCACACAUGAGAAAAGCCUUUCAGAAACCUGCAGAAACAGUGAGCUAAAUAAACCUUUCCUUCGUUCAUUUUGGGUGUUAGAUAUUUUGUCCCAGCAAUAACAAAAAGGUAACCAGUACAGGUGGAUUUUCUAUUUAGAGUGUCAGGUAGUAGCCAGAGGUCAGGAGAAAGAAAUUGUACUGACCCUAGCAGACCCCAGAAGAGUAAUCUGCAAAGUCCAAGAUAUUGACUAAGGAUAGUUAGUUUUAUUUGUAGGGUGGCAAUCAGAAGUUACAAAAGCAAAUAGUUUUUGCUGAAGGUUAUGGUACAGUGGGUAUCGUGAGUUGAGCAUUCAUGUAUGUAGCAAAAUUUUUGUGGCACAUUCACAGAAGUUUUAAUUUGAUGAUAAGUCAUUAUUUAGUUGAGGUCAGUGGCAGAGAACAGAGUGGCUGCAGCUGUAUUGCACAGAAUGUUUCCAGUGAGGUCUGGAUUUCCUUUUCAGUUUUACAGUGAAAGCUUUCAGUUUUUGACCAUCCAGUAUGGUGCUUCCUGUUGAUCUGUCAUAAGUUGCUUUUAUCAUAUUGAACUAAGGGCCUUGUAUUAUACCUGUUUUCUUUGGAUUGUUUAUCACGAAGGGAUAUUGCACAUUGUUGAAAGUCCUUCCUGCAUGUGUUGACAUGAUUAUGGUUUUUGACUUUAUUACUGGUGGGGUCCUGCAAGCAAAGGGAAAAUAAGGGGACGCACACACUAAGGCACAGCAAAAUGGCUGCAGCCUAAGCAAGUAGCUUUUAUUGAGAUAAAGAACAAAGAAACUGAAAUUGCUCAUGCUUAGAUUAUACAACUUGUUAACUUCUUGGCCUUACAGGAUCUCAUGUUUUUACCUUGGGUUGUGGGUUAUGUUUCAAGAUCUCAACUUUUUCCCAUAAUAUUGUCAACUGGGUGUGUCCAGAACAAAAUAGAAUCAAUGUGGCCUCUCUAGAUCUCCCCCUUCUUUUUUUAGUUUAGACUUUGUUACCAUUUUAGAAGCUGGCAUUUUAGGUAUCAACAUUUUGCAUCCCUUACCAGAUAAGCAGGUAAGGACAGUAAAACAAAAAAAUUUAUUUUAGCUGGUUGAUAUCUGGUAACCAUCCUGUAAGGAAAUUCCAUAAUUUUGCAUUGAGCACUUGGGAGGCGUAUAUCUGUCUGGUAAGUUCUUGUAAAUCAUGAAGUUUGCCAUUGAUGGAUUUACUUUCAUCAGACAAAUUAAAACAGCACACUUGAACAAUUUCAUUACAUCCGUGAGGAUGCAAUAGAAUAAUCAGUUGCAGCACGAUUAUCUAAAAUCACUUGUCACUGCUCACUUUGUUCUUUGUUUAAUAAUGCCAAAGCUAUAAAAGUAUAUUUUAGUUGUUUUUGCCAUGAGACAAGCUAGUGCAUUAACAUUGCAAUUGGCCCUGGCUGCCAGGGCAGGCACACCAACCAGAGAAAUACCUAAAGCAUAAAUUUCUGCUUUGGUUAACAGGCUGAUAGAAAAGUCCCCGCAUAGGUCAGUGAGACUAGUUGUAGACUGCUUGGUGCGAGACAGUGUACAUUCUGGAGAAGGCAACAAUACAGUAAGGUGACUAAGGCAGCAUCUGUGUUCUGAGAUAAGUUAGCAAGGAUGUAAUUGAAGGUCUACUCUUCACAUGAGAAAAACCAUCCAGCAGGGAGAGGGCCAUGUCCAUGUCCCUAAAUACUGGCUCAUAACUGAACAAUUCCAAGUAUUACUGGAAAGGCAAAGACAUUAAGCAGUACAAUUUUCAGUAGAAGCACAUGAGGCAUUUGAAGUUGCUACAUAUGGAGGGAACACUUUAACAGCAUUAUCAGGGUUUUCAAGGGUGGGAGGGGCCCAAUUUGGAAAGUCAGCAUAUGUGACAAUUUUGCUUAGAAUUGUGGAAAAAAUGGUGUAAUUACUUAGAGAGGCAGGGUCCUUGCAUCCUGGAACCAGACAGGACCCGAGGAGGUAUUUCAUUUCUGUGUUUUCAACAAGACACAAAUGAGAGACAUUAGAUAUUUUUGCCAAUAUUGUAUCUCCCAAAUAUUGUAUUCCAGUCUUUCUUGGAGGUUGUGAGACUCUAAAGUCCCCAUGGUGGAUUGUAAAAGUCAUAGCAAUAGAAUACAAACAAGCAUUAAAGAGUUAAUUCUUAGUUUGGUAAAUAUUACCACAUGAAGCUUUUUAGCAGUGCAUUCCUCUUCAGAUACAUGGAGCAAGUCUUAUGCAGACUGGAUCAGCACCUUUCUAUCAGGUCACUGGCUGAGCAGUUGUCAUCCUGGGUCACUCACUUCCAAGGCAGCUGGGUUUGAUUUAGGGAGAGGCGAAACUGUGGAGUCGGGUUGUGCACCGAUGGUGCCAACUCAAUCCAUGCAGGAUGAAUGCAAUAAGCAGGAAUCCACACAUGGUCUGUUCAGGGUAACACAGAAGCAUCCCCUCCUUCCCAGAUCAGCAGGAGAUCCAGCCUGGGUCUGGGGGUGUUUUGAAAAAAUGGAACUAACAUAGCCAAAGAGACCUAAAGAGAAACAGAAGAGGAUAGCAGAAAGGAGAAGUCAGCCUUGGUAAGUGAGAAAACAGUAUCAGUGAGAUCAGUUCCAAGGAGUGCAAGUGCACCAGUAAGUCCUCAAGAGAUAAGAGAAGAAAUAGCAUUGAUAAUAGGAAAUACAGUACUACCAAGCAAGAAGGGUAAAUGUAACCAUUCAACAAUAAAUACCUUGUUCUGGACGGCAACAAGAGCCCCUGCAGGCAGAGGGAAUGAAUAUAAAAGGAGUCAGGAGAGGGCAGUCCUGUGGGACCCGAUCCACCAUAACGUGGUGAUUGUGUGAGCAGUGCUCCAAAGGGGAGAGUCAGAGAUCACAUCAGCAGGAUCUCGGUUGCCCCUUAAAGCACCAACAGAGGAGCUAACUGCUGCGUGGUCAAAGGAAAAUAGGGUCCUACCCAGGUAAGGUGGAGACAGCUGAAGCAGCACCGGGAACACCUGGAAGGCUGCCACGCGGUGUCCAACUGCUCACUGGCCAAAGGUGGCAGCAGCGCCCCGCAGAGCUGCCAGGUGUGCAGGACAGAGGUUGGGGCUCGAGGCGCCGCAAGCAGCAGUUUGGCCAUCUUUUCCCUAUUCUCCAGUAUGAGCAUUCCUCCCUCAAGAUACCCCAGACAAUGACCAUGAGUUUCUCACAAAGGUUGUACGAAAUUAUGCCCAGGAGCCCAUGGCCUGCCUUGUUAAGGAGAAAAAGCAUCCCUGCCCUGUGUUUCUGCUGCGCCUCAGACAGGGGAUUCCCCAUGACUCACCAGGGAUUUCCCAAAGAAAAUGAAGUGCAUGGGUUGGCUACUGUGUCCUACCCCAGGAACACAGUGAAGGCAAGUCACCCUCCGCAGCAGAGGUCUCCUCUGUCCAUGCACCAGAUGUUGGGGUUCUUCAACCAAAGGGAAAAUAAAGGGUCACACACACUAAGGGUCAGCAAAAUGGCUGCCACCCAGCCAGCCUAAACAAAUAGCUUUUAUUGAGAUAAAUAACCAAGAAACUCAAAUUGCCCAUGCUUAGCUUAUACAACUUCUUUGCUUCUUGACCUUAAAGGACCUUGUGUUUUUAUCUUGGGGUGGGGACGAUGUUUCAAGGCCUGUACUUUUCCCCAUAACAUUGUGAACUGGAUGUGUCUGGGACAAAAUGGAUUCCGUGUGGUCUCUCUAUACAUUGCAUUUAUCGGUUUAUGUAUUUUAAAUCAUCCUUGCAUCUCUGAGAUGAUAUCUUCUUGAUCAUGAUGUGUGAUCUUUAUCGUUUUUGUUGUUUUGUCUCAUUUCUUUUUUUGUUAAUUAUUUUGAGACAGGGUCUUGAUAUGUAGUUGGGGCUGGUGUUAAACCCCCUACUAGCCGAGGCUGGCCUUGCGCUUCCCGCAGUCCUCCUGCCUCAGCCUCCUGAGCUCUGGGGUUAUCGAUCCUGGUGGACAGUAUAUGAUCUUUUUGAUGAUGAGCUGCAUUCUGUUUUUUAAUAUCCUGUUUAACUUUUUGUUUGCUUGGUUUAGGUUUUUGUUUUGUGUUCUUUUGUUUCUUGUUUUCAGACAGGGUCUUGCUGUACAGUUCAGACUGACCUUCAGCUUACUAGUAGCCUGUGCUGGCCUUGAAUUGGCAGUGAUGCUGCUGCACCAGCUUCCCUCGGAUUACAGGCUAGGAGUACAAGCGUGCACCAUCAAACGCUGGCUCCUAGUUUUGCAUGGAUGUCCAUGAAGAUGGGGUGCAGUUGUAUUUUUGGUUUGGUCUUUGUCCAGUUUGGGAAUCUGGAUGAUACUUCUGUGCCUGAACUUUGGAGCGCUCUUAUCCAUUUCAGUGUGUUUUAGAGCAUGAGAAUCAUUGGUGAAGGAGCAUCCUUAAAGACUGUAGAAUUCAGCCGUGAAUUCAUCUGGUCCAAGUCUUUUUUUGGUUGAUGGAUUCUUUGUUGUAGUGUCAAUUUCAUUGCUUGUUCUUGGGUUAAGCAUAUUUCUGUCUUCCUGAGUCAUGUUUGGUAAUUUAUAUCUGUCUGAGAAUAUGUCCAUUUCUUAAAAAUUGGCCAAUGUUUGGGAACAUAAUUUUUCAAAGUAGUUACUGUCCUUUGGAUUUUGAUACUCUUGUGAGUUUACCUCCUUCAUUUCUAUGUGAGUGCAAAGUUUUUAGUUUUACCUCAUCUGCUGGAUGGCAACUGGCCAGCUGCUCAAAGCCACAUCAUUUGCAGAGGGUUCCCUGUUUCUUCUGUAAUGUUUUCCAUUUCUUCUGUUGUAUGGUGCAAUCUGGUUUUUUUCUUUUUUCAGUUCCUUCCUGGUUCCUGGUAAACUUGGUUUCACUUUGACUGCUCGUGUCUGUGUUUGCCAUACAGUCUGAUGCCCCGUGCUCAGGCUUUGGAAUCAUGGUGCCUCCAGCUUUGUUCUUGAGCGUGGUAUCUAUCAGCAGAUUCAGUACAUGCUAUACACAUGUGUAACACUUUUCAAGAUUGAUUUACAGUGGCUGCCCACAGUCUAGUGUGAAAAUAUGAAAGUUCCCUCUGGAAAGAUGCAGGCCACCGCCUAGAGUGCAGUGUAGUGUCCCACAUGAGUCCAUGUCAGUAUGCGUAAGGGUCUGUGAUGAGGGUGAACAGACAGCUCACUCCACAGCUGAAGGGUGGGUGCUGGAGUCUGAAGAGUCUGUGUGACCAGCCAGGAGAAGGCUCCAGUGUGAAAGAAGACUGGAGCAGCUCCAAAGCAAACAGAAGCAGCCUUCCUUCCUCAUUUCCCUAUUGCACCGUAAUCAGCCCUGGGACAGGUCUUCCACACCAAGAGCUAUGCUGAGGCAGUUUAAUUAGGUAUUGCAUCUCAGAUUGACAGAGCCACUCAAUCAUCACGAAGCCACCUUUUUCCUAACUGCGUACUGUGGCCUGGAGGAAUGCAAUUGUUAGCACUUGCUGCUCCAUCGCUGUGAGUGGGGAGGGCAGACAGUUCCUUAGGGGUAGGCAAGGCCACCCUUUUCUGACCACUAAUCACAGAGCAGGUUGCUGAAUGUUGCUCUAGGAGCCAGGUGAAUGGGUGAGCAGUGGGGCUGGGAUCACAGCCUGUUUCCUUCCACCUCCAGAACAGAUCUUUGUUCCACUAGCAGUCUGAAGGGUCCUUUGUGGAAGUAAGACAUCCUGCAUGCAUCCUGGAUAUGAGGAUAUCUGGGCAACAGUGGUGCCUGGGACAGCAGCUGUGAGUGCCUCAUGCCUGGUAGUACCCAAGGCCAGGUGAGCAUGUGUUUAAGUUUGUACUGAGUUCCCCUUCCACAUAUUAGAAGAGGAGCCAGGUCACUAGUAUGAGUGACAGGCUUUCAAGGUCAGGUAACCAGACCUGAACUGAAUGUGACAGGCCCAGAGCUCAGGGCUCUUCUCACUUUGCGACUUCAACAGAAAGACUCCAGCACAAGAGUUCACAGGGACUUCUGUCCCCAAGGAUGUAAGGGAACCUCUGGUGAGGGCUAUAAUUCAGAAAAAAAUGUAUGCAGGGCACAUCUUUGGGACCAGUGUGAGUGGAUGACAACACCAGAACACUAGGCGGACCAGAUUGAGGAUUGACUGGGGGAUAGUGCCUGGGCAGAAGUCAUGCUAUUCAUGAGGACUCUUCUGUUAGGUUUUUUUGAUGCAGUUGAAAGACAAAGACAUAAGGAAAAAUGUUCAUUGCAGGCACAGGAGGUUGCUGGGGACUGCAAGGACCCUCAAAAAGGUGGAUCUGGGAAACAGCUGGAAAACAGCAGAAAGACAGGGGUCUGAUUGCAAGAGUACAGACUGUUUUUGGCACUCUUGAAACAGUAGCCUAUGGCCUUAGUUCAAGGGGGCUGUCACAGGACACACAUUGUGGGUGUGCAGCUACUGUGCCCCCACCUCUGGCAGACCAGUAGGAAGCGGCUCUGAGCAGGAUUGAAAAUGAACUAACUGAUUGGCUUUCUGUGUUUUAUCUGUUGAGUCUUUCCUGGGGCUAGGUAGGCCUCUUGCCUGGCGAUGGGAGCUGAUUUCUAUUGAGUGAACCUCUAUGAAACUCCACGGGUCCUGGCUGAGGCCUGCAGUGGCCUGAGAUGCCAGAGAUGCCUCAAAAGGCAAGAUGAGUCCACAGUUGAGGACACCUGCCUGGCUCGGACACCCAUGAAGUACAUAGAGACUGUGGCUGUCAGCCUCUAGUGCAUGCAGUCUCACUCCUACCGUCGUCCUGGAGAUGAACCGGCUCUCCUAAACUGGCAUAACUGGCUACUUGGAGAAUUCUUUGAAGUGACUCCCAAGGUCCUGCUCACUGCCCUUCCCCUGGGUGGGGGUGGGGGGACUUUCCUCAGUAUCCCCACUCUUUGUUUGCACCCCUAUAGGUAGGGGUGGCCCGGAGAAGCACUUUGUCUUUUUGUGUGUGUGUGUGUGUGUGUGUGUGUGUGUGGUACUCGGGAUUGAAUUUAGGCUUGCCAGACAGGUGCUUACACCACUGAGCUAAAUCUGCAGGCCGAAGCUCUCUCUUUGUCUUGGCCCUCGUUGUAGCCACAGAGUCGAGAACUCUGUGAGAGGGAUUUUACCCCCCUGGAGCCUUAAAAUCAUACGACUCCGUCUCAUUUAUUCCGGCCUUCGCCACACACUGGUGUGGGAGAUUGGGGAUCUAGGUCGGACCACGGUAGCCGGCCUCCUGGUGGGGAGACACAUCCCUGCCUUUCACUUUGGGAUCUGGUCACAUGGGCUAGCCAGAACCUCCGUGGAUUCCUGGCUGUCGGUCCUUCCAUCUCUCCUGCCCGCCCGUCGGGUGCAUGGGCAUGCACCACCUAUCUGUUGUUUGGGCGGUAUGAUGUAUGUAUCUCAGCUCUUGGGCCGUGUCCCUCUGUCUGGCCCUGGUUUGCCGGCCUACCUUUAUCUAUUUACCUGUGUAUGUAUGUAUGUAUGUAUGUAUGCAUGGGUGGAUGGAUGGAUGGAUGGAUGGGUGGAUGUUUUGGUACUGGGAAUUAAAACUCAGGACCUUGCAUUUGCCAUGUAAGCCCUUAUGCCGCUGCGCCAUAUCCCUGGCCCUAUUUAGUGAUUUGUUUAUUUAUUUAUUAUUCAUUCAUGCUUGUGUUCACUUUUUUUUUUUCUUUCUUUUUUGCAAUGGACAUCAAAUUGAUGACCUUGUGCUUAUCAGGUAAGGGCUUAAGCCACUGAGCUAAAUCCCCGGUCCUAUAUUCAAGUUUUGUCCUGGGAAUCAAACUCAGGGCCUCAUGCUUGCCAGGCAGGUGCUGUGCUGCAGAGCUAUAUCCCUGGCCCGUGGCCUUCCUGUCUCUCACUGCCAUGGCCUGGCGGGUACCUAGGGGUGUCCCUGGACUUGGCUUUCUGCCACUUAUUGAUUGAUUAAUUGAUUGGUACUGGGGAUUGAACUCACGACCUCGAGUUUGCCAAGCAGGCACUUAUGCCGCUGAGCUAAACCUCUGUGGCCCGAGCUAAACCCUCGGCUCUCUGUCUUUUAAUACAGUCAGUCACAGGGUCUCUGUGUGUGGUACAGAGUGGCUUGGAAUGAAUGAAUGAAUGAAUGAAUGAAUGAGUGAAAGAAAGAAAGAAAGAAAGAAAGAGAAUGAGUGAAAGAAAGAAAGAAAAAGAAAACAAAGAUCUCGUAUACCUCCUGCCUGUCUCAGCAAACCGCCCCCCACACACACACACACACUGCAAUGAUAUCGGGUGUGGAGCACCUUGCCUGGUUUUUGGAGGGAUAUCUCCACUGCCACGACCUGGUGCUGGGGAAUUAGUAUUAGUAUUAGUACUCGUAUUCAUAUUAGUAUUAGUACCAGGGAUCAUACUCAAGACUUUGGACCUGCCAGUUUGAGAGAACUGAUCUUAUGACACAUGAUGAAAUGAACAAACGCUUUGAAGGAAAAAAAGGCACUACAGCACCCAGUGCUGACUCUGGCGGGUCAUGGUGUGAAAUUCAGCAAUACUAUUAUUCUCUGUUCAGAGUGAUUUUAAUCUGCUUUGGUUUGUUAAAUCUCAACAUAAAUGCAGAUAUGAAUAAAUGCAUGUAUGUUAAGAGUAUAGGAUUGAUAACCACAUUACUAAGAUUUUAUUAGAUAGUUGAACAGAAUUAUUUCCAGUCUCGCUGUUUGAAUUCCCAUUAAUAUGUUCCACUCUUGUGUCUUGAACAACUAUUUGUAAGAGGACAAUAUGUAAACAUCAACAAGUGAUUUAUUACUGUUUAUUUUUUUCCAUUGAAAGUAUGUAUUAUUUCGACCGUUUUCUGUUUCGUUUUGUCUUUCUUUAAAUAAAAAUUUAAAAAUAAACACCCAGAGAAACACAAA